rnacentral:rRNA from 1 species
AUGAAAAUGGAUCAGAAGAUGAUCAUCGUGUGCUCCGUCGUCGGCUCUCUCGGGGUGCUCAGUGCCGUCCUGGGGUUCUCAGCCGAGGGCACGAAGCUCACCGUUUCGGACUUGUACGUGGGUGGAGGGCUGUGCCUGUACCCGCAGAACCCCGCGCUCGGGCUGGGGGUGUGCGCGGUCAUCUUCCUGGUGGUAGCCCAGAUCGCCUUCGCGGUCGUCGGCGGCUGCUGCGGCUGCUGCAGGUCCCGCGCCAUCCCCUCCGAGACCAACCGGAUCAUCGGCGUCGUCUGCGCCGUCUUCUCAUGGAUCAUGGCGAUAAUCGCGUUCGCGCUGCUGGUGACGGGCGCGGCGUGGAACACCACCGGGACGCGGGAGCCGUCACCGUUCGGGCUGUGCUACGUCCUCAAGGACGGCAUCUUCGCCGGCGGCGCCGUGCUCACGCUGGUCGCCACGGCCCUCGGGCUCACCUCCUACGUCAUGCUCCGCGGGCAGCCGGCCACUGCCGCCGCCGCGCCCAAGGAAGGCGAGCAGAUGCCGCCGGGCGCCGCCGGGACGACGACGGGGCAGCCGCAGUUCCCGCAGCAGCCUCCCCAGGGGCAGGCGCCACCCAACUACCCGCAGCACUCUCCGCCGCCCCAGGGGCAGGGGUACGGCCAAGCGCCGAACCCUCACUACGCGCCUCCUCCGGCACAAGGACAAGGCUAUGGAGCGCACGCACCCAACCAGCAGCAGCAGCAGCAGCUACCCCCGCCUCCUGGACGAGGCUACGGGCAGUACCCUCCCCCUAAAGGAGACGAACAGGUGUAA